UAGUUUACCAUCAUUAAGUUUAGGGGACGUCUAGCGAGACUGCCAGUGAUAAACUAGGAGGAAGGUGGGGAUGACGUCAAAUCAUCAUGCCCCUUAUGACCUGGGCUACAAACGUGAUACAAUGGCUGAAACAAAGGGCAGCGAAGCAGUGAUGUGAAGCGAAACCCAAAAAAGCAGUCUCAGUUCGGAUUGAAGUCUGCAACUCGACUUCAUGAAGUCGGAAUCGCUAGUAAUCGCGAAUCAGAACGUCGCGGUGAAUACGUUCUCGGGGUUU
rnacentral:rRNA from 1 species